GCCAUUGUCAUUGCUAUUCCCAUUGGCAUUGCCACUGUCACUGCCAUUCCCAUCGCCAUUGCCAUUGGCAUUGGCAUUGCCACUGUCACUGCCAUUGCCAUUGGCAUUGGCAUUGGCAUUGGCAUUGCCACUGUCACUGCCAUUCCCAUCGCCAUUGCCAUUGGCAUUGGCAUUGGCAUUGGCAUUGCCACUGUCACUGCCAUUCCCAUUGUCAUUGCUAUUCCCAUUGGCAUUGCCACUGUCACUGCCAUUCCCAUCGCCAUUGCCAUUGGCAUUGGCAUUGCCACUGUCACUGCCAUUCCCAUUGGCAUUGCCACUGUCACUGCCAUUCCCAUCACCAUUGCCAUUGGCAUUGGCAUUGGCAUUGGCAUUGCCACUGUCACUGCCAUUCCCAUUGCCAUUGCAAAUGUCAUUGCCACUGCCACUGCCAUUCUAUCCCAUUGCCAUUCCCACUGCCAUUGUCAUUGUCAUUGCUAUUCCCAUUGCCAUUGCCACUGUCACUGCCACUGUCAUUGCCACUGCCAUUGCCAUUCCCAUUCCCAUUGGCACUGCCAUUGCCACUGCCAUGGCCAUUCCCAUUCCCAUUGCCAUUGCCAUUGCCAUUCCCAUUGCCAUUGCCAUUCCCAUUUCCAUUGCCAUUGCCACUGCCAUGGCCAUUCCCAUUCCCAUUCCCAUUCCCAUUGCCAUUCCCAUUGCCAUUGCCAUUCCCAUUCCCAUUGCCAUUGUCACUGCCAUUCCCAUUCCCAUUCCCAUUCCCAUUCCCAUUCCCAUUCCCAUUUCCAUUGCCAUUGUCACUGCCAUUGUCACUGCCAUUGCCAUUGUCACUGCCACUGGCACUGCCAUUGUCACUGCCAUUGCCAUUGCCAUUGCCAUUGUCACUGCCAUUCCCACUACCAUUCCCACUGGCACUGCCAUUGCCAUUGCCAUUGCCAUUCCCAUUCCCAUUCCCACUGCCAUUGCCAUUCCCAUUUCCAUUGCGAUUGUCACUGCCAUUGUCACUGCCAUUGCCAUUGCCAUUCCCAUUGCCAUUCCCAUUCCCACUGGCACUGCCAUUGCCAUUGCCAUUGUCACUGCCAUUCCCAUUCCCAUUCCCAUUCCCACUGCCACUGCCAUUGUCACUGCCAUUGCCAUUCCCAUUGCCAUUGCCAUUCCCACUGGCACUGCCAUUUCCAUUGCCAUUGUCACUGCCAUUCCCAUUGCCAUUCCCAUUCCCAUUGCCAUUGCCAUUUCCAUUGUCACUGCCAUUGUCACUGCCAUUCCCAUUGCCAUUCCCAUUCCCAUUGCCAUUGCCAUUUCCAUUGUCACUGCCAUUGUCACUGCCAUUGUCACUGCCAUUGCCAUUGCCAUUGCCAUUGCCAUUGCCAUUGCCACUGCCAUUGCCAUUGCCACUCCCACUCCCACUGGCACUGCCAUUGCCAUUCCCACCGGGCACCACGCGUUGCCUCCCAGCCCAGGCCCUGCCUGGUACUUCACCCAUCCCACUUCCCCAGGGAGCACAGCUGGGAACGCCCCCCGAGGGCACGGAGCGGAACCCGG
ensembl:lncRNA